rnacentral:lncRNA from 1 species
GGAUUGGAACCAAAGAAUCCCCGUCUGGGAAGAGCUCGACGCUUUCCCUCUGAAAAAAAGAAGAGAGCAAGGCUUUUUCCUUCAACACAUAACCCCUCGGUCACUUCCUCCCUCGAAAGCUAACAACAGCGGAUAAGAGAACUGCUUGUGAAAGAAGACUUGUUCGCAGCUAAAGAGACAGAGGACAAGAUCAAUAGUAGA